rnacentral:rRNA from 1 species
ACCUGACUGCUAUCGGAUUGAUACUAAGCCAUGCGAGUCAUUGUAGCAAUACAAGGCAUACGGCUCAGUAACGCGUAGUCAACCUAACCUAUGGACGGGAAUAACCUCGGGAAACUGAGAAUAAUGCCCGAUAGAACACUAUACCUGGAAUGGUUUGUGUUCCAAAUGAUUUAUCGCCAUAGGAUGGGACUGCGGCCUAUCAGUUUGUUGGUGAGGUAAUGGCCCACCAAGACUAUUACAGGUACGGGCUCUGAGAGGAGUAGCCCGGAGAUGGGUACUGAGACACGGACCCAGGCCCUAUGGGGCGCAGCAGGCGAGAAAACUUUGCAAUGUGCGAAAGCACGACAAGGUUAAUCCGAGUGAUUUGUGCUAAACGAAUCUUUUGUUAGUCCUAGAAACACUAACGAAUAAGGGGUGGGCAAGUUCUGGUGUCAGCCGCCGCGGUAAAACCAGCACCUCAAGUGGUCAGGAUGAUUAUUGGGCCUAAAGCAUCCGUAGCCGGCUCUGUAAGUUUUCGGUUAAAUCUGUACGCUUAACGUACAGGCUGCCGGGAAUACUGCAGAGCUAGGGAGUGGGAGAGGUAGACGGUACUCGGUAGGAAGUGGUAAAAUGCUUUGAUCUAUCGAUGACCACCUGUGGCGAAAGCGGUCUACCAGAACACGUCCGACGGUGAGGGAUGAAAGCUGGGGGAGCAAACCGGAUUAGAUACCCGGGUAGUCCCGGCUGUAAACUAUGCAAACUCAGUGAUGCAUUGGCUUGUGGCCAAUGCAGUGCUGCAGGGAAGCCGUUAAGUCUGCCGCCUGGGAAGUACGUACGCAAGUAUGAAACUUAAAGGAAUUGGCGGGGGAGCACCACAAGGGGUGAAGCCUGCGGUUC